AGAGUUUGAUCAUGGCUCAGGAUGAACGCUAGCGGCAGGCCUAAUACAUGCAAGCCGAACGGUAAAUAUUGUAGCAAUACGAUAUGAGAGUGGCGUACGGGUGCGUAACACGUAUGCAACCUACCCUGUACUGGGGAAUAGCUCUGGGAAACUAGGAUUAAUACCCCAUAACAUCAUUGAAUGGCAUCGUUUAAUGAUUAAAGUUUCGAUGGUACGGGAUGGGCAUGCGUCCGAUUAGCUAGUUGGUGGUGUAACGGACCACCAAGGCAAUGAUCGGUAGGGGUUCUGAGAGGAAGAUCCCCCACACUGGCACUGAGAUACGGGCCAGACUCCUACGGGAGGCAGCAGUAGGGAAUAUUGGUCAAUGGGUGAAAGCCUGAACCAGCCAUGCCGCGUGCAGGAAGACGGCCUUCUGGGUUGUAAACUGCUUUUGCCAGGGAAUAAAUCGUCUCUGCGGAGACUGUUGAAGGUACCUGGUGAAUAAGCCACGGCUAACUACGUGCCAGCAGCCGCGGUAAUACGUAGGUGGCAAGCGUUGUCCGGAUUCAUUGGGUUUAAAGGGUGCGUAGGCGGCUUUUUAAGUCAGCAGUGAAAUACCCCGGCUUAACCGGGGGGGUGCUGUUGAUACUGAUAAGCUUGAGUACAGACGAGGCAGGCGGAAUUGACGGUAGCGGUGAAAUGCAUAGAUAUCGUCAAGAACACCUAUAGCGAAGGCAGCUUGCUAGACUGGCACUGACGCUGAGGCACGAAAGCGUGGGGAUCAAACAGGAUUAGAUACCCUAGUAGUCC
rnacentral:rRNA from 1 species